rnacentral:rRNA from 1 species
UACGUAGGUGGCAAGCGUUGUCCGGAUUUACUGGGCGUAAAGGGCGUGCAGGCGGUUUUGUUAAGUGCAGGGUGAAAGCUCCCGGCUCAACUGGGAGAGGUCCUUGCUACUGGCAAACUCGAGGGAGGCAGAGGAAAGCGGAAUUCCCGGUGUAGCGGUGGAAGUGCGCAGAUAUCAGGAAGAACACCACGGCGAAGGCAGCUCGCUGGGACGGUACUGACGCUGAGACGCGAAAGCCGUGGGGGAGCGAACAGG